UACGGAGGGAGCUAGCGUUAUUCGGAAUUACUGGGCGUAAAGCGCACGUAGGCGGCUUUGUAAGUUAGAGGUGAAAGCUUGGAGCUCAACUCCAGAAUUGCCUUUAAGACUGCAUCGCUUGAAUCUAAGAGAGGUGAGUGGAAUUCCGAGUGUAGAGGUGAAAUUCGUAGAUAUUCGGAAGAACACCAGUGGCGAAGGCGGCUCACUGGCUUGGUAUUGACGCUGAGGUGCGAAAGCGUGGGGAGCAAACAGG
rnacentral:rRNA from 1 species